GUUCAUUUUCAUUCUUCUCUUCUUCUUUCUUCUUUUUUAUUAUUUUCUUCUUUUUCCUUCAGUGUUCUUUCCAGUUGAGGAUUUGAGAGAUUCUUAGAUCGAGAUAAGAAGAAAAUUAUCAAGAAUUAAGUGUUGUUGGUGGUGUUCUAGUUGAUCGAUCGUGAAAAUAAGGAGAGAUGACGAUUUGUAGAUUAAAUUCGAAGGUUAGGGAUUACUUGAAGAAACUGUAAGAAGAUUUUGGAGUUGAAAUUAAAGGUUGAAAGGGAGAUUUAAGAUGGGUUUUAUGUUAAUUGAAUCGUAAAGAGGAAUUAAUUUUCGAAUUACAAUUUCAGUGAAGGAUUGGUGAAUUAGGGUUUGCCCUGUUCUUCCCCAAAUCGUGAAAUUAGGGUUCUUGAAUCUCAAUCACAGAUAAAGAAAAUAUAUUGAAGGUUAAUAAGAAAUUUAAAGGAUGGGUUUGUUAGAUUUGAAGUUUCGGUUGAUGUUCUAAGUUUGAAUUAGAGAAAAGAUGAUUUGAGAUUGAAAACUGAUGAUGGUGGGUUGCUGUAGCUUUAGGAAGAAUUGCAGAAUCCAUCUAAGUAAGAAGAUGAGUUGAUUUGUAUUGCUGGAAUGGAAUUAAAUCGAGUGAUGCUGCACAGUUGGUGGUGUUGGAGUGAUCUGGUUUGAGAUAGAUCAUAGGUUGGUUUCAGUUGUGGAGUUUGAAGGUGAAUUUUGGAGAAUGGAUUGUGCAGAUGAGAUAUGAAUAAUAGCGGUUUGAAGUUCUGGUAGAAUUAGAUUGAGAUGGUGUUAUGUAGUUGUGGGGAAGUUCUUGUUUUACAAGACUGGAAGGUGUAUUGAACUGCAGGAGGUAAUGGAUGUGCACUGUUGUUGUUAUCGCAACUGAAGUGUAGAAUAGAAGUUAGUAGUGUUAUAGUUAUUGGAACCUGAGUGUACUUGGGAGAUGUUUGAGAAGAAGUUGAUUGUAAUGAUGUUAGCAGUGGCCUUAGGGAAAAGCUUGAAGCUGUAAUUGCUGGUGAGCGGAAUUUUUAUUUGAGAAUAAGAUUAUAAAGUUCCUUUUAAAUGAAUGAAUUGAUAUUGUGUUUAUCUUG